UACGGGGGGGGCAAGCGUUGUUCGGAAUUACUGGGCGUAAAGGGCUCGUAGGUGGCCAACUAAGUCAGACGUGAAAUCCCUCGGCUUAACCGGGGAACUGCGUCUGAUACUGGAUGGCUUGAGUUUGGGAGAGGGACGCGGAAUUCCAGGUGUAGCGGUGAAAUGCGUAGAUAUCUGGAGGAACACCGGUGGCGAAGGCGGCGUCCUGGACCAACACUGACACUGAGGAGCGAAAGCCAGGGGAGCGAAUGGG
rnacentral:rRNA from 1 species